rnacentral:rRNA from 1 species
GAUGAACGCUGGCGGCGUGCCUAAUACAUGCAAGUCGAGCGAACAGACGAGGAGCUUGCUCCUCUGACGUUAGCGGCGGACGGGUGAGUAACACGUGGAUAACCUACCUAUAAGACUGGGAUAACUUCGGGAAACCGGAGCUAAUACCGGAUAAUAUAUUGAACCGCAUGGUUCAAUAGUGAAAGACGGUUUUGCUGUCACUUAUAGAUGGAUCCGCGCUGCAUUAGCUAGUUGGUAAGGUAACGGCUUACCAAGGCAACGAUGCAUAGCCGACCUGAGAGGGUGAUCGGCCACACGGGAACUGAGACACGGUCCAGACUCCUACGGGAGGCAGCAGUAGGGAAUCUUACGCAAUGGGCGAAAGCCUGACGGAGCAACGCCGCGUGAGUGAUGAAGGUCUUCGGAUCGUAAAACUCUGUUAUUAGGGAAGAACAGAUAUGUAAGUAACUGUGCACAUCUUGACGGUACCUAAUCAGAAAGCCACGGCUAACUACGUG